rnacentral:rRNA from 1 species
GACGAACGCUGGCGGCGUGCCUAAUACAUGCAAGUCGAGCGAGACUCUUCGGAGUCUAGCGGCGGACGGGUGAGUAACACGUGGGCAACCUGCCUGUAAGACUGGGAUAACACCGGGAAACCGGUGCUAAUACCGGAUAAUCCUUUUCCUCUCAUGAGGAAAAGCUGAAAGUCGGUUUCGGCUGACACUUACAGAUGGGCCCGCGGCGCAUUAGCUAGUUGGUGAGGUAACGGCUCACCAAGGCGACGAUGCGUAGCCGACCUGAGAGGGUGAUCGGCCACACUGGGACUGAGACACGGCCCAGACUCCUACGGGAGGCAGCAGUAGGGAAUCUUCCACAAUGGACGAAAGUCUGAUGGAGCAACGCCGCGUGAGCGAUGAAGGCCUUCGGGUCGUAAAGCUCUGUUGUUAGGGAAGAACAAGUACCGGAGUAACUGCCGGUACCUUGACGGUACCUAACCAGAAAGCCACGGCUAACUACGUGCCAGCAGCCGCCGUAAAAC